rnacentral:rRNA from 1 species
UACGUAGGUGGCAAGCGUUGUCCGGAUUUAUUGGGUUUAAAGGGUGCGUAGGCGGUUAUAUAAGUCAGUGCUGAAAUAUCCCGGCUUAACCGGGAGGGUGGCAUUGAUACUGUAUGACUUGAGUAAAGUUGAGGUUGGCGGAAUUGACGGUGUAGCGGUGAAAUGCGUAGAGAUCGGAAAGAACCCUCGUGGCGAAGGCGACUCUCUGCCUAAGACUGACGCUGAGGCGGCGACGGCGUGGGGAGCGGAACAGG